AUAUCUUUUUCGGCCUUUUCACUAAGAUCAAAUGUAGUACUCCUCCUUUUAAUUAAAAGUCUAAGACCUAUUUCAUUUGUUGGUUUUUCCAAAAGUCUAAGUCCUAUCUGUAGUCACUGUGCUAUAUUAAAUUUUUUAUCGGAAACCAAGAAGUCAUUUUAGUACUUAUUGUUUGCAUGUUCAUUGGUUUUAUCACAU
rnacentral:snRNA from 1 species